AACACUGCAAUGGGAUACCAGCUGCAGCGGCUGCCAUGGCAGGGCUGGUCCCACCGGAGGAGGCACCCUGGCACCCCUGACUCCCAGGAUGAGUCCCAGGGAACACCAGGGUGGAGUCAGGGGCAGGGAGACUCUUGGGGACUCUGAGGGAGCCACAGCCCAGGGAGACCUCCCAAGAAGACCUCCCAAGAAUCAAGCCCAGCCUGUGGACCUGGGGUGCUGAUGGAAUAGACUGAUGCAGUAGAGUCUUGCGGUGGGGCAUGGAGGGGAGUGUGGAUGACACCCAAACCUACUCUGUGAUGAUGGCAGAAGGCAUGAAGGCCCCUCCCCACUCAUGACGCCCCAGCAGGCGGCUUCGAAGGCCUCACGCUGCUCAGACAGGGGCGUGGGGGGUACACCUCCAGCAGCUGGGCUCAUGACCAUGCCUUCAGUGCAGAGUCUGAGAUUGGAAAUCACUGUUAGAAGAGUACAAAGAAGAAAACCACAAAGACUUGGCUGAUGGGGUCGUAAGGCCACAGGAAAUGGAACAGAACUACAGCCUGCCAGAGCAGGAAGGAACCUUCUAGAUGAGCUGGGUCAGUGUUUUCAGACCACGGAGUGUGGCUCAUCAACGGGCUGUACAAUCAGUUUGGGGGCCAUGGUCAGCAUUUUUAAACAAUAUACAAUGGAACACAAAACAUCAGAGUAAACAUAUGCCAUACAGUACAUACAGUAUUGUUU
rnacentral:lncRNA from 1 species